AUAGCACUGAUCAGCUUCUGUCUCAAGAAGUCCUCAUAAGCCUCAGCAAUGAGAUGAUCAUCAUCCCACUUAUCACGGAACGUGUCUGAUUGUGUGGCAAGUCUUACAUAGCCAUCUUCUAAUUCCUUGUUUCUCCAUUGUUCAACAGGUGGUUCACCAAUCUGAUCAGCUAUCCAGUUGAGGUACUCAGCCUGACCGACGACACCAAGACGAUGCGUGUAUCUCUUGGGAAACCCGUUAGCAUCACGCUUUGCAUAGAGGGCGUUAGUGUCCUCCAUCAUUUUGUCUUCUGAAGGAAGUGUGACACGACCGGAUAAAACUGCAGCCACCCACUUGCUUUGAAGCUCAAACAGAGUGAAUAGUAAUGUCUGAAGAAGGAAAAAUGUCUCAUUAGGCGAUGAUUAGUCACACAAAGAAGCUUAGAGUAAGUAGAAUAGAAUGAGUGAGAGACUUCACCAUCCAGGGUAAACCGAUGAAGGAAAGCCCCGGAGCAAGUGCAGGAGGAAACACAUGUUUGUAAAGCGGUCCAACACAGUUAUCAUCCACGGUGAUAUAGCCAUUGGUAUUGAGAAAUGGGAAGUGAUAUAUGUAACCGGUGCAGUGCACAAUAGUAUCUGCUUGUACAACUUUACCAUUCUUGAAAACAAUGGAGCCAUCUUUGCAUGCGGUUUCUAUCUGCACAAACAUAUAUUGAAUCAUGACACUUCUAAUAUGAUCAGUUUCUCAAAAAUAUCGGACCUAAACGAAAUAUUUUUUUAGAAUAUAUUUUUUUUUAAAAAAGCGUCUAACCUAGCGAUUUCUUGAACAUUGGAUAUGAUAAUUUUUUUCUUUCAUUUUCUUUACCAUAGGGUGAAGCCAUAGAUUGUCGGCCCCGGGAAGCUUCUCAUAUGUCUCAGACGGUUUCGACCUAGCUGCGAUAUGGACUUCUUUAGCCACUCCUGUUAAGUCCUUGCUGAUAUCUGAUCCACUAGCAAAGUUUCCUAUCACUACCACAACCUUUCGAACAUGUCAGGUCAAUAAAACAAUCAGUAAAAGGCUUAUAAGUUAUGUAAGAACAUACCUGGUCUUUGAAUGGAUCAGGAACUCUGUAGUUGUGACUAUGAAGUUGCUUCCCUGGCCAUAGAUCUAUACCUAAAAACACUCAAAAUCAUUUCACAUAAGUCAAACAUAUAUUACUUCAAAAGUCAACGAAAGAUUUAAGACUUUUUAAUCAAUUACCAGGAAUUUGAGCAACACGAGGCUCUGUGUAAUGUCCAUUACACACGACCACAGAGUCAAAGAUCUCAUCUCUGGACACCCCAUCGGAGUUUCUUGAUCGGAUCUUCCACUUCCGACCAUCUUGCUCGACAAGAACCACUUCUGUCCCGAACCGAACCAUCUCCACGAGUUUGAACUCUCUCGCGAAGUCUCGAAGAUACGCCAAGACUUCCCUGUGUGUAGGAUACCUUCUCGGGUCUCUAGACUCGUCGUGUUCUGGUCGGGGAACGAAAGGGAAGUCGCUGUAACCCAUACACUCUCUCGGGAGUGGAUCAAAUGCUUUCUUCUGCGAACGUGUCUUUUCUAGCGGUCUCACCAGCGAUAGAAAUCUCUCUUACAAAGAGAAAUUGAGAAGUGGGAUUGUUGGUAUCAAGAAAGAUGAUGCUGUUACCCUGUUUCAAACCAUGACUGGGUCUCGUCCUCUUCCUACACUCGUUGAUUUCAGUAAAUUGUUUAGUGGCAGUUGGAUCUCUGCAAGCAAAUGGGAUUACACAUAACAUUUACACGCUGAGUAUUGUCAUCAAUUGCUUCUGCAGGCGUCGUAAAUUUGGUUUUGCUUUUUCCGCUAUGGGGAAGAUCUUCAAACUUGGGUAUGAGCCUAACACUGUCAUGCUUAACACCCUUCUCAAUGGCUUAUGUCUCGAGGGUAGAGUCUUUGAAGCUAUGGAGUUAGUUGAUCGUAUGGUCCAAAGUCAACAUGUACCAGAUCUCAUCACCCUCAACACUAUUGUCAAUGGACUUUGUCUCCCAGAAUGAAGCAGUGGAUUUAAUUGAUUGAAUGAUGGAUAAAGGAUGUCAAGCCGAUCAGUUUACCUGUGGUCCGAUCUUGAACAGAAUGUGCAAGUCUGGGAACACUGCCUUGGCCUUGGAUCUGCUCACAAAGAUGGAGCAUAGAAAGGUCAAGCCCCACGUAGUCACAUACAGUACGAUUAUCGAUAGUCUUUGCAAAGAUGGGAGCCUCGAAGAUGCCCUCAGCCUUUUCAAGGAAAUGGAAACCAAAGGUUUCAAACCAAAUGUCUUUACCUACAACUCUAUCAUAGGAGGCUUCUGUAGUGCUGGUAGAUGGGAUGACGGUGCACAGUUUCUGAGAGAUAUGAUCAGAAAAGAAAUCACACCAGACAUCAUCACUUUCAGUGCUUUGAUUGAUAGUUUUGUGAAAGAAGGAAAGCUUACUGAGGCUAAAGAGUUGUACAAUGAGAUGAUCACAAGAGGCAUAGAUCCUGACACCAUUACAUAUAACUCAUUGAUAUAUGGGCUGUGCAACGAAAAGCGCUUAGAUGAAGCCAACCAGAUGCUGGAUCUGAUGGUUAGCAAAGGAUGUGAUCCUGAUAUUGUGACUUAUAGUAUCCUUAUAAACGGCUACUACAAGGCUAAACUGGUUGAUGAAGGUAUGAGACUUUUCCGCAAAAUGUCUGUGAGAGGAGUGAUUGCCAAUACAAUCACUUAUAACACUCUCAUCCAAGGAUUUUGUCAAUCAGGAAAACUUAAUGUCGCCAAGGAACUCUUCCAAGAGAUGGUCUCUCAAGGUGUUCAUCCUGGUAUUGUUACCUACAAAAAUUUUCUGGAUGGGUUGUGUGACAAUGGAGAAGUAGAAGAGGCUUUGGGAAUACUUGAAAAGAUGCACAAGUGUAAGACGGAACUUGACAUUGGUAUAUAUACUAUCAUCAUUCACGGGAUGUGCAAUGCUAGUAAGGUCGAUGAUACUUGGGAUCUAUUCGGUAGCCUCCCUCUCAAAGGAGUGAAGCCGAAUGUCAUAACAUAUACUAUAAUGAUUGGAGGACUAUGUAAGAAAGGGUCGCUGUCUGAAGCGAGACUGUUGCUUAGGAAGAUGGAAGAGGAUGGGAUUGCGCCAGAUAGUGGUCCAUACAACACUCUCAUCAGGGCACAUCUCCGAGAUGGUGACGUAAGCAUUUCAGUUGAACUCAUCGAAGAAAUGAAGAGGUGUGGCUUCUCUGCAGAUGCUUCCACUGUAAAGAUAGUUAUGGAUAUGUUAUCGGAUGGGAGAUUGGACAGAAGCUUUCUAGACAUGCUUUCUUAAAUGCCUCAUCCAACUAAGUGCCGGUUAGUGUUUACAAGUUAACUGGGUUUUUUUAGUUGAAACACGUUUUUUUAUGUCUAAGGGCAAUGUGGCUUCUCUGGUCUGCCCUUAAAUUACAACAUAGGCAUUGCUAUGCGAAAGGUUUCUUGGCUUAGGAAAGGUUUUGGAAAUUUUCUAGAUGUUAAACACGACUGAGCAAGCUCUUCUUUAAGCCCUUUCUCACUAUGCUCAUCUGUAUACUUUUGCUGUUUAGGUUUUACUUGUAAUGUUAUGAACAAAUCUGUUAUCUCUCUAGUUUGUUUUGGAAAUUGUUUUUUCGGUACAUGUCUCUGCACUGAAACGAACCUUCAUGAUCUGCUCUAAAUGUCCUUUUCUUGGGUGGACAAUAGGAUGAUGAUAUAUACGGAAAGCACUUUCUCAGAAUCUGAACCUGUAGAGAAUGCUCCAUGACUCCAAAUUCUCUCGUUCAGUCAAGUCGGUCUCCACUGAUCUUAUUUUGCAGAUCUUUCUCACCAGCUACCCUUUGAAUGCUAAUUGGUCACGAAGAACUAGCCGAGAAACUUGGAUACUAAGAUGCUCCGAUAUGAUUGAAAUUUACAACAUGAAACAUAACAAUAGGAUUGAUGUGAUGAGUUAGAAGAAACGGCGUCAAAAAGAAAAUGUAUAACAUGCUUAGUGCUUUUAUUCAAUCUGUAUAAAACAUUGUUUGUUUUAUUCCAAUAUAGUAAGUAUAAAGACAAUGAAAAUGGUGAAGUUCAACAUCACAUGAACAACACAUAGAUAUAGAUCAAUCAUUUGGUAAAGGCAUCAAUCACCCAAAUAUCUGAGAGGGAAUAGCACUGAUCAGCUUCUGUCUCAAGAAGUCCUCAUAAGCCUCAGCAAUGAGAUGAUCAUCAUCCCACUUAUCACGGAACGUGUCUGAUUGUGUGGCAAGUCUUACAUAGCCAUCUUCUAAUUCCUUGUUUCUCCAUUGUUCAACAGGUGGUUCACCAAUCUGAUCAGCUAUCCAGUUGAGGUACUCAGCCUGACCGACGACACCAAGACGAUGCGUGUAUCUCUUGGGAAACCCGUUAGCAUCACGCUUUGCAUAGAGGGCGUUAGUGUCCUCCAUCAUUUUGUCUUCUGAAGGAAGUGUGACACGACCGGAUAAAACUGCAGCCA
rnacentral:lncRNA from 1 species